AUUGAACGCUGGCGGCAGGCCUAACACAUGCAAGUCGAGCGGAGCGGCGGACGGGUGAGUAAUGACUAGGAAUCUGCAUGGUAGUGGGGGAUCACGUUCGGAAACGGGCGCUAAUACCGCAUACUAUCAGAUGAGCCUAGGUCGGAUUAGCUAGUUGGGGGGGUAAUGGCUUACAAAGGCGACGAUCCGUAACUGGUCUGAGAGGAUGAUCAGUCACACUGGAACUGAGACAAGGUCCAGACUCCUACGGGAGGCAGCAGUGGGGAAUAUUGGACAAUGGGCGAAAGCCUGAUCCAGCCAUGCCGCGUGUGUGAAGAAGGUCUUCGGAUUGUAAAGCACUUUAAGUUGGGAGGCGUUACCUACAGAAUAAGCACCGGCUAACUACGUGCCAGCAGCCGCGGUAAUAC
rnacentral:rRNA from 1 species